rnacentral:rRNA from 1 species
UACGUAGGGUGCGAGCGUUGUCCGGAAUUAUUGGGCGUAAAGAGCUCGUAGGCGGUUUGUUGCGUCGGAUGUGAAAUCCCGAGGCUCAACCUCGGGUCUGCAGUCGAUACGAGCAAACUAGAGUGUUGCAGGGGAGACUGGAAUUCCUGGUGUAGCGGUGAAAUGCGCAGAUAUCAGGAGGAACACCGGUGGCGAAGGCGGGUCUCUGGGCAGCAACUGACGCUGAGGAGCGAAAGCGUGGGGAGCGAACAGG